rnacentral:lncRNA from 1 species
AUUUACAGGCUUUGUUUGUGUUUGCAGCAAAGCUUUGAAGCAAUGAGGAAGAACUCCAUGAAAGAGUCGAUGUUGUGGAUGCCAUUCCCACACUUUCUUUCACUCUUACACAAGCUCACACUGUCUCUCUCCCUCUCACACAUACACUAUCUUGGACUUUAUGAGAUUUAUGAACAGGUUUGUAGACAUGUAGCUAGUCAUCGUGAAAACUCUAAUAUACCCCUCACAACAAGAGCACGUGACAUUCACACGAUCAAACUUGACGGAUUCUGUUACGGCAUGACCCAAUUGGAACUACUUGUCAAGCUAAAUGAUGUAAUUGCCUCAAAAAAAGUUCACGGACCCAAUUG